rnacentral:rRNA from 1 species
UACGGAGGGCGCAAGCGUUGUUCGGAAUUACUGGGCGUAAAGCGCGUGUAGGCGGCUUUGCAAGUCGGGUGUGAAAGCCCUCAGCUCAACUGAGGAAGUGCGCCCGAAACUGCAGAGCUUGAGUACCGGAGAGGGUGGCGGAAUUCCCCAAGUAGAGGUGAAAUUCGUAGAUAUGGGGAGGAACACCGGUGGCGAAGGCGGCCACCUGGACGGUCACUGACGCUGAGACGCGAAAGCGUGGGGAGCAAACAGG